AAACAUGGCUCUUUGAUUGUUUUAGAUAAGGAGUCGGGCCUGCCCAGUGAUAACAUAUUAUUUAACGGCCGCAGUAUCUUGACUGUGCAAAGGUAGCAUAAUCAUUUGCUCUGUAAUUUAGGGCUGGUAUGAAUGGUUUGACAAGAGCAAAGCUGUCUCUGGAGGAUUUUAUUGAAAUUAACUUUUAAGUGAAAAGGCUUAAAUAUAAUUGAAAGACGAGAAGACCCUAUCGAGCUUGAUAAAUUACUUAGGGGUACUAAGCUUUUUUUUGGUUGGGGCGACCGAGGAACAAAAAAAGCUUCCUUAAUAUUAAGACAUGAUAAAUUUUGAUCCAAUAGAAUUGAUUAAAAAAUAAGUUACCGUAGGGAUAACAGCGUAAUCUUCUCUGAGAGUACAUAUUAAAGAGAAAUUUUGCGACCUCGAUGUUGGACUAAAGUAUCCUAAAGAUGCAGGAGUCUUUAAGGGUUGGUCUGUUCGACCAUUAAAACUUUA
rnacentral:rRNA from 1 species